rnacentral:ncRNA from 2 species
AUGCUGAUAUGAGUUCAGUACACCCCAACUGCGCGCUAACCUAGAACCCACAAAGGGUGUUGGUCGAUUAAGACAGCAGGACGGUGGUCAUGGAAGUCGAAAUCCGCUAAGGAGUGUGUAACAACUCACCUGCCGAAUCAACUAGCCCCGAAAAUGGAUGGCGCUGAAGCGUACGACCUAUACCCGGCCGUCGGGGCAAGAGCCCGGCCUCGAUG